rnacentral:rRNA from 1 species
UACAGAGGGUGCGAGCGUUGUCCGGAAUCACUGGGCGUAAAGGGCGCGUAGGCGGCCUGAUAAGUAGGGGGUGAAAUCCUGUGGCUUAACUGCAGGGCUGCCUCCUAGACUGUUAGGCUCGAGCACGGUAGAGGCAGAUGGAAUUCCCGGUGUAGCGGUGGAAUGCGUAGAGAUCGGGAAGAACAUCGGUGGCGAAGGCGUUCUGCUGGGCCGUUGCUGACACUGAGGCGCGACAGCGUGGGGAGCAAACAGG